UGAAAAGGAAAUUCACUAUAAAAUAAUUAUUUUUUUGGUUAAAUUGUUUUAAAAUAAAUAAUUAAUAAAUAUUUUAAUGAGAUUUUAGCACAUACUACAAUUUUAGUAUCUUUUUAUGUUUGCUAAUUUUGUCAAUGAUUGACUAAGAGGAGAUUCUAAUCUCUCUCUGUGUUCUUUUUAGCAAAUACUUCUUAGAGGGGUGCGCUGUACCAAAGUUUGAAUAUGGUGCACAUCAGCUGUUCGACUAAAUGUCUGAAGGGGCUUUUAAAAUGUUUUGUUUAUUUUUAAGUCUCUGCUUUUUUUUUGCUUGCAACAAAUAAUACGUUUUUGUGGGUUUGCAGUUUUCAUUGUUUAAGUGCGCUACUAUUUCUGAGGCAUAAUGAAAGUUCGGACGUUUGGGAUAAUUUUGCUGCUAUCUCCUUUAUUAAUCUCUCAUAAAGACACUAGUGGCACGUUUUGAUUUAAAGGUAAGCUUCUGAAGGAUUCUUGGUUUUAUUUGUUGCGUAUUAUAAACAGACAAUGAAUCUCUUUGGAGUUUGAAAGAGUGAAACAUAUAGUUUUUGUAGAGGGGUGGAACUAGUUUUAUACAUUAUGGUUAGUUAAAAGUGUAUGAUUGAAAAAGAGGUUUUGGGGGAGUUGGUGAACGGUAUUGUUGGCUGAGACAAAACGUGUAGUAGGGUGGUCAGGGACACGGCGUUUUGCAGAGUUUGGCGUUUUGAAGAGGGAAAAUGGUUCUCUGGAAAGACGCCAAGGAGUGAAGAUUUAGGGUAAAACCUGAUGGUGUGUGGAUCAUUAAUUAUUUGACUGCUGGGAAAUUUUCACAUUAUGAUAUCUCUAGCUGUUAUGGUAUGAUGAUGCAGGAACCCUUCUUCAUAUAAACUUUGUGCUUGUAACAAGAUAUAAUAUAAAGAGACAGAGUGUCUUUGUUUCUC